GACGAACGCUGGCGGCGUGCCUAAUACAUGCAAGUCGAGCGGACCAAAGGGAGCUUGCUCCUGGAGGUUAGCGGCGAACGGGUGAGUAACACGUGGGCAACCUGCCUGUAAGACUGGGAUAACAUCGAGAAAUCGGUGCUAAUACCGGAUAAUAAAAAGAACUGCAUGGUUCUUUUUUGAAAGAUGGUUUCGGCUAUCACUUACAGAUGGGCCCGCGGCGCAUUAGCUAGUUGGUGAGGUAACGGCUCACCAAGGCAACGAUGCGUAGCCGACCUGAGAGGGUGAUCGGCCACACUGGGACUGAGACACGGCCCAGACUCCUACGGGAGGCAGCAGUAGGGAAUCUUCCGCAAUGGACGAAAGUCUGACGGAGCAACGCCGCGUGAGUGAUGAAGGUUUUCGGAUCGUAAAACUCUGUUGUUAGGGUAAGAACAAGUGCCGUUCGAAAGGGCGGCACCUUGACGGUACCUAACGAGAAAGCCACGGCUAACUACGUGCCAGCAGCCGACGG
rnacentral:rRNA from 1 species